rnacentral:rRNA from 1 species
AUUGAACGCUGGCGGCAGGCCUAACACAUGCAAGUCGAACGAGUGGCGGACGGGUGAGUAAUGUCUGGGAAACUGCCCGCUGGAGGGGGCUAACUACUGGAAACGGUAGCUAAUACCGCAUACCAUCGGAUGUGCCCAGAUGGGAUUAGCUAGUAGGUUGGGUAAUGGCUCACCUAGGCGACGCUCCCUAGCUGGUCUGAGAGGAUGACCAGGCACACUGGAACUGAGACACGGUCCAGACUCCUACGGGAGGCAGCAGUGGGGAAUAUUGUACAAGGGGCGCAAGCCUGAUGCAGCCAUGCCGCGUGUAUUAAGAAGGCCUUCGGGUUGUAAAGGACUUUCAGCGAGGAGGCGUUACUCGCAGAAGAAGCACCGGCUAACUCCGUGCCAGCAGCCGCGGUAAUAC